rnacentral:rRNA from 1 species
AUGGUUAGGUUUACGCUUGUUCGUGGCCGUCUUCGCUUCACGUCGGCCAUGCGGCCGCUGCCUUCUUCGGGCAUGUCCGUUCUGGCGGUUCGUCGCGCUCGGCGGACUCGUGCAAGAUCUAAGGGCAGCCGCAUGGCGAUCGAGAGGCUCACCGACGACCUCCUUGUCGAGAUCCUCUCACGCGUACCCGCCAAGGUGGUCUGCCGCUGCAAGGCCGUCUCCAAGCGCUGGAUCGGCCUCAUCGACCACCCCGACCACCGCAAGCGGCUCCCCCAACCACUCGCCGGCUUCUUCUACAACAGCACGAACGAGAACCCCUUCCCGAUGUCAACCGUACACUUCGUCAAUGCGUCCGGGAGCGGUUGCCCUUUCAUCUGCCCUUCUCUCUCCUUCCUUCCCAGCCACCGCCGCCUCGACCUCUUGGACUGCUGCAACGGCCUCCUCCUCUGCCGCUGGUACGACGCCUCCGCCGGAGGCGACAGGUUCUGGUACAUCGUGUGCAACCCCGGAGGAGUGGGCGGCGUUGCCUAA